AAAAGUGAUAAAACAAUUUUCUCUUUGAUAUAUGUAAGAAAAAUAUGGCUCAAAUCCUCAAACUCAUUUAUGUUUUGUUCAUUUUUCUUUCCCUAUUUAUUAUUGGAACUAGUGGAACAAAACGUAAACCUAUCGGAUCUUUCAUUCCUUGUGUAACAUUCCAAGAUUGUCCGAAAGAUAUGUGCUUCCCUCCACGAGGACGGCGAUGCGUACUUAAUUAUUGUGAAUGUCUGUAAGCAUAACAAUUAUGUAGAGAAAUGUUUGGAAGUUUCAUAUAUUUUUUUUUUUUUGGAUCAAAUGGAAGUUUCAUUAUUUAAUUGUAUCAUUUUAGUUUUACAUCUUAUGCCUAUGUUAUGUAAUGCAAAUAAUGUUACCUCUAUUGAUUCUUAGAGGAUAUAAUUAUAAUGAGUUAUUUAUUAAUUUGAUACAAUUUUG